rnacentral:misc_RNA from 1 species
AACGCACGAGACCUGCGGACCUGCGGAGGGAUCAUUAGUGAACGCCCUCACGGGCUUAUAACUAUUCCAAACCUCUGUGAACCGUGCCCUUCGGGGCUAUUUUACAAACAUGGUGUAAUGAACGUUAUAUAUCAUAACAAAACAAAACUUUUAACAAUGGAUCUCU